rnacentral:rRNA from 1 species
AGUGAACGCUGGCGGUAGGCCUAACACAUGCAAGUCGAGCGGCAGCACAGAACGAGCUCCUGCUUUCGGGUGCCGACUGGCGAGUAAUGGCGAAAAACCUGCCAAUCUGUUUUUGAUUGGGGGCUAACGCGGGGACUCUUACGCCAUUCCUCCUUACGACGAACGUGUGGGAUCUUGGGAUCUCCGGCUAUUGGAUGAUCCUAUGACCCAAUGUCGGAUUAGCUAGUUGGCGGGGUAAAGGCCCACCAAGGCGACGAUCCGUAGCUGGUCUGAGAGGAUGAUCAGCCACACUGGAACUGAGACACGGUCCAGACUCCUACGGGAGGCAGCAGUGGGGAAUAUUGGACAAUGGGCGCAAGCCUGAUCCAGCCAUACCGCGUGGGUGAAGAAGGUCUUCGGAUUGUAAAGCACUUUUGGUGGGAAAGAAAAGCAGCAGGUUAAUACCUCGCUGUUCUGACGGUACCCAAAGAAUAAGCACCGGCUAACUUCGUG